ACCAAGAUCAAGAUUCCCCUCUCCCUCUCUCCCUCCCUCCUCUUUUCAUCAAUUUUCUCUCUCUCCCUCUCCCUCUCUCUCCCUUAGUGCCGUGUCUUUCUCUCCAGGAGGCAGCAGACGUCUCUCCCGUCUCUCCUUCCCUCCCUCCCUUUCCUCCAGCAUGGACAAGCCGGUACGGUUGGCAUCCCUGGCUAUGGUGGCACUUGUGGUGGUGGCAGCCCUGACUACGAUGGCGAUGGUGGUUGAGAGUGCCUCGGUGCGAGAACGUAAACCCACAAACCACUCCAAUAACACUUCAGUCAUUGCAGUGCCUUCAGAUCUACUGGUGCGCCUAGUGGAGGUGACACAAUCCCUUCAUAACUUGCUGCCGCGCCGGAGUGUAAGCGACGGAAACAUUGAGGCGACCCAAGAGACCGCUGGGCUAAAAGGUGCGUCUGGUGAGGAACGGAUUCUUACACUUGCACUGACACAACACGCGCUGCUGCAACACAGAAUGGAGGAACUUCUGACGCAAACGGGAAGGUGUCAAGCCCAGGUGAGAUAGUACUAGUAGUAGU